rnacentral:rRNA from 1 species
UUAAUUGAAGAGUUUGAUCAUGGCUCAGAUUGAACGCUGGCGGCAGGCCUAACACAUGCAAGUCGAGCGGUAACAGGGGAAGCUUGCUUCCCGCUGACGAGCGGCGGACGGGUGAGUAAUGUAUGGGGAUCUGCCCGAUAGAGGGGGAUAACUACUGGAAACGGUAGCUAAUACCGCAUAAUCUCUAAGGAGCAAAGCAGGGGAACUUCGGUCCUUGCG